rnacentral:sRNA from 1 species
AUUCAAAACGAUUCUAUUAAAUGUAUUUAUUUUGUAUGUGCAUUGCAAUGUUAUAUUGUGGAUGUGCCCUGCUGAAAGUGCUGUAUAGGAAAUACAUGUAUUUGUUACACAAGGAAAAAUGUCCCUAAUCCGACACUAGUUUCAUUUGUCAUACAUACUAAUUAAACAUUCCAUGCAAUAGUCCUGAGUUUCCUUUCAUUUUUUAGUUAUCAGUGGGAAUUGUGUGAAGAACAUAUUAAGUACCAAUUCAAAACGAUCAUUUUCUUGAUCAUUAUACACUGAUAUUUAUAAGGCAAACUCAUUUUUCAUGUGCAUUUUGAUUUGAUUUAGACUGAUAUUCUGACAACAGCUAUAAUUAUUAAUUAGUCUAUUCUUGAGUCUGGUUUUAAUGCUAUUUCUGUCUUCUUUCCUGUCAUUUACUAAGGUCUAUGCACUGUACCCACACUAUUUCAGAUCAUGCAUUUUCAAUCUUCUUUUUAACUCAGUUUAGUAAGUUGCACUAUUUAUUACAUGUAGCACUUAGAACUUUAUCUGUAAUUGCUCCGAGUAACUCGUGUGUCUCAAGUAUUACCGUACUUUUUGUCUGCAAUGCACCUUUGCUCAAGUUCAAGUACUUGUAGUACUAUGCUUUGAUAAUCCAAUCAUUCCAAUGGUUAUAAAUAGCUAUAGUUUUCUACUAUUAUCAUCCAAUGCCAACACAAUUGUUCAAUCUUGAAAUUCGAAAAAAAAAGUGUUGAAUCGGUUCAUUUAUUCUGUUGCUAAAAUGCUGUAUUGUUUAUAUACUGUUGUAUUUUUCAUUAAAAAAGGAAGGAUU